rnacentral:rRNA from 1 species
UACGUAGGGCGCAAGCGUUGUCCGGAAUUAUUGGGCGUAAAGAGCUCGUAGGCGGUCUGUCGCGUCUGCCGUGAAAACCCGAGGCUUAACCUCGGGCCUGCGGUGGAUACGGGCAGACUAGAGGUAGGUAGGGGAGAAUGGAAUUCCCGGUGUAGCGGUGAAAUGCGCAGAUAUCGGGAGGAACACCGGUGGCGAAGGCGGUUCUCUGGGCCUUACCUGACGCUGAGGAGCGAAAGCAUGGGGAGCGAACAGG